CUCGGGACUUCUGUGCAGCUGGAAGCGUUCGUCAUGCGGACGGAGCCCGAGGAGGAGUGCAGUGGUGAACAAAGGAUUCAUGUGCAAGUGAAGAUUACUGCUGGAUCAAAGGAACUUGCUCUCUACAACGCGAUGUUCGCGUGUGAGUCCACGCCAGCGCUUCCUAGAGUGCUACCAUCCAACCGAGACGAACAGAGUGCGCUGCUGGAGCUUGUCAAGGCGUGGGACGCUCGCACUAGGUAGACAACACCGCUGCCAGCUCCUUUUUGUUGAUGUAGACCACUCUGGUACCAAUGCCACAUUAGUGGAUGUUGAAGGUUUUCUCUUUCACUUUUAAAAUAAAAAUGACAAAGAUGCAA